rnacentral:rRNA from 1 species
CAUGCGAGUCGAGCGGCAGCGCGGGGGCAACCCUGGCGGCGAGCGGCGAACGGGUGAGUAAUGCAUCGGAACGUGUCCCGUAGUGGGGGAUAACGCCGCGAAAGCGGCGCUAAUACCGCAUACGCUCUACGGAGGAAAGCGGGGGAUCUCGAGAGGGACCUCGUGCUAGGGGGGCGGCCGAUGUCCGAUUAGCUAGUUGGUGGGGUAAUGGCUUACCAAGGCGACGAUCGGUAGCUGGUCUGAGAGGAUGAUCAGCCACACUGGGACUGAGACACG